UACGAAGGGGGCUAGCGUUGCUCGGAAUUACUGGGCGUAAAGCGCACGUAGGCGGCCCUGUAAGUCCGCUGUGAAAGUCAAAGGCUCAACCUUUGAAAGCCGGUGGAUACUGCAGGGCUAGAGUCCGGAAGAGGCGAGUGGAAUUCCUGGUGUAGCGGUGGAAUGCGCAGAGAUUAGGAAGAACAUCAGUGGCGAAGGCGGCUUUCUGGACUGUAACUGACGCUGAGGCAUGAAAGCGUGGGGAGCAAACAGG
rnacentral:rRNA from 1 species